GACGAACGCUGGCGGCGUGCUUAACACAUGCAAGUCGAACGGAAAGGCCCUGCUUUCGUGGGGUGCUCGAGUGGCGAACGGGUGAGUAACACGUGAGUAACCUGCCCUUGACUUUGGGAUAACUUCAGGAAACUGGGGCUAAUACCGGAUAGGAGCUCCUGCUGCAUGGUGGGGGUUGGAAAGUUUCGGCGGUUGGGGAUGGACUCGCGGCUUAUCAGCUUGUUGGUGGGGUAGUGGCUUACCAAGGCUUUGACGGGUAGCCGGCCUGAGAGGGUGACCGGCCACAUUGGGACUGAGAGACGGCACAGACGCCUACGGGAGGAAGCAGUGGGGAAUAUUGCACAAUGGGCGGAAGCCUGAUGCAGCAACGCCGCGUGCGGGAUAACGGCCUUCGGGUUGUAAACCGCUUUCGCCUGUGACGAAGCGUGAGUGACGGUAAUGGGUAAAGAAGCACCGGCUAACUACGUG
rnacentral:rRNA from 1 species